GCCGGAGUGGCGGAAUUGGCAGACGCCCGGGACUUAAAAUCCCGUGGGAGCGAUCCCGUGCCGGUUCGAUCCCGGUCUCCGGCACCA
rnacentral:tRNA from 5 species